ACUGGAGUCUUCAUAACAUCAACCCUCUAGGCAGGAUUUUUCUGUGAUUCUGAUUGUGUCUGACUACAAGCUGAAGAUAUCUUAAUUAAUAACAGGGCAGGAAGAAUUGAGUGGGGAAAGAAGGCCUUCGGACAGUAGAUAAGUAUCCAAAGCAGUGUGGGCAAAAAGAGUAAGCAACAUCCCCUGGGAUUUUUCCCAUGUGGGUAUCACUGAGCAAAGCUGCUGUGGGAAGAUAUGUAGAUUAAUGGGAAAUGCAGGGUUAUUAUGGAGGAAAUAACUCACAGGAU
rnacentral:lncRNA from 1 species